GGUUUGUAACUGUUUUUGAAGGUUAGUUAUGGUUUGAUGCAGGGUAGCUGUAGAUUCUGUUAUGGGAUUGUAAGGUAGUUAAAGGUUUUUGGUUCAGUUAGGGGUUAGUUAUAACUGUUAGUUAGUUAUGCUUGAAACUGAAUUCUAUACUAGGUUGUUAGGUAGUUAGGAUGUGUAACUAUUUCUGUUAUCUGUUUCUUGUGAACUAGUGUGAUAGUUGAAAGCUGAAUUAGGGAGUUAAUAGUAAAUACAAGCAGUCAGUGUUAGUAUGCUAAUAAUUGUUAGUGUAAGGUUGGAUGAAAUAGUUAUUCUGUUAAUUAUAGUCAUGAAUCAGAGGGUGGGUUAUUGGUCACAAAACUGUUAGUUACUGUUAGUUGAACAUAGGAUCAGGUUUACUCCUUUUUUCUUUUUUUCAUGGUGAAAGCUGAACUAUUUGAACAUGUCUUGUGCAGGGCUGGGAUGUGUUUGUGAUGGUAUGGAUGUAGGUAGUUUGAGGUUUGAAAUUGGAAGAAAGAUGUAGCGCAGGCAGAGUAGAAGCAAGAAGAACAAGAAUGAUGGAAGCUGAUGAUGUUUGAAGAUUUAGGAGUAACAGGCUUUAGGACAUUUGUUGACUCGGAUAGAAUAUGUAAAUUAUUAUGGUUUCUUUGAGAUGUAAUUGGUGUGAUGGCAAUGUAGUGUUCUUGAAUUUGAAUUUGUAAUGAUAAUUGGGAUUGGAUAGACAUUUGAAUUUUCCCUCCACUUGUUAAAUUUAAAUUUCCAAAUAUUUUCACUU